UGUUGAAGAAAUCCCUCAGCUUUUCUUUGUUUGGUAAAGGCUUUAUUUCUUCUUCAUGUUUGAAGGAUAUUUUCACCAUGUGUCCUAUUCUAAGUUCUCCAGGGUUGAUUUUAGGAGCAGAAGACCACAGCCUGAACUUGAUUAUCAUCUUGGCAGCUACAGGUCAAGUUAACUGAUGAUUUCCCAUGUCUCUUCAUUCCUGGAUCCAGGCUACAAGAAGCAGACAGCAUCUGGGAUAUGCCAUUCUCUAGCCAAAGGGCAAAGCA
rnacentral:lncRNA from 10 species